CCUACGGGAGGCAGCAGUGAGGAAUAUUGGUCAAUGGGCGGGAGACUGAACCAGCCAAGCAGCGUGAGGGAGGACGGCACAGAGGAUUGUAAACUUCUUUUAUAUGGGAACAAAGUCUAGGACGUAUACCCGGCUGAGUGUACCUUAUGAAUAAGGAUCGGCUAACUCCGUGCCAGCAGCCGCGGUAAUACGGAGGAUCCGAGCGUUAUCCGGAUUUAUUGGGUUUAAAGGGUGCGUAGGCGGGUUGUUAAGUCAGUUGUGAAAGGUUGCGGCUCAACCGUAGAAUCGCAGUUGAUACUGGCAGUCUCGAGUACAGUAGAGGUAGGCGGAAUUCGUGGUGUAGCGGUGAAAUGCUUAGAUAUCGCGAAGAACUCCGAUUGCGAAGGCAGCCUGCUGG
rnacentral:rRNA from 1 species